UACGGAGGAGGCAAGCGUUAUCCGGGAUUAUUGGGCGUAAAGCGUCCGUAGGUGGCUAGUCAAGUCUGCGGUCAAAGACUGGGGCUUAACCCUGGAAGGGCCGUGGAAACUGACGAGCUAGAGUGCAGUAGGGGUAGAGGGAAUUCCCGGUGUAGCGGUGAAAUGCGUAGAGCUCGGGAAGAACAUCGGUGGCGAAAGCGCUCUACUGGACUGCAACUGACACUCAGGGACGAAAGCUAGGGGAGCGAAUGGG
rnacentral:rRNA from 1 species